rnacentral:tRNA from 1 species
CUUAGCUCAGUUGGAUAGAGCAACGGACUUCUAAUCCGUGUGUCCCAGGUUCGAAUCCUGG